AGUAUUUCCUUAGAAGUGACUUUUUAAUAUCACAACCAGUAACAGAUUCCUUUGUUCCUUCUUCACUGUCACUACUUCACAUGACCAGCCUUAA
rnacentral:sRNA from 1 species